rnacentral:rRNA from 1 species
GACGAACGCUGGCGGCGUGCUUAACACAUGCAAGUCGAACGGAAAGGCCCUGCUUUUGUGGGGUGCUCGAGUGGCGAACGGGUGAGUAACACGUGAGUAACCUGCCCUUGGCUUUGGGAUAACUUCAGGAAACUGGGGCUAAUACCGGAUAGGAGCUCCUGCUGCAUGGUGGGGGUUGGAAAGUUUCGGCGGUUGGGGAUGGACUCGCGGCUUAUCAGCUUGUUGGUGGGGUAGUGGCUUACCAAGGCUUUGACGGGUAGCCGGCCUGAGAGGGCGACCGGCCACAUUGGGACUGAGAUACGGCCCAGACUCCUACGGGAGGCAGCAGUGGGGAAUAUUGCACAGUGGGCGGAAGCCUGAUGCAGCAACGCCGCGUGCGGGAUGACGGCCUUCGGGUUGUAAACCGCUUUCGCCUGUGACGAAGCGUGAGUGACGGUAAUGGGUAAAGAAGCACCGGCUAACUACGUG